GCAGCUCUCUGGUAGAGCAUCUGCUUUGCAUGCAGAAGGUCUCGGGUUCAACCCCUUGCAUCUCCA